rnacentral:pre_miRNA from 1 species
CUAGUACUCCCUCCGUCCAGAAUUACUUGUUGCAGAAAUGGAUGUGAUUAGAUGUAUUUUAGUUCUACAUACAUCCAUUUCUAUCCAUUUCCGUGACAAGUAAUUCAGGAAUCAGGGCGGAGGGAGUAUGAG